AAUCUGGAGAGGAUGCUUCUGGCGCGGCGCCUUCCGAGUUCCCUGGAACGGGACGCCGGAGAGGGUGAGAGCCCCGUACGGUCGGACGCCUAGCCUUUGUGAAGCUCCUUCGACGAGUCGAGUAGUUUGGGAAUGCUGCUCAAAAUGGGAGGUAAAUUUCUUCUAAAGCUAAAUAUUGGCCAGAGACCGAUAGCGCACAAGUAGAGUGAUCGAAAGAUGAAAAGCACUUUGAAAAGAGGGUUAAACAGUACGUGAAAUUGUUGAAAGGGAAGCGCCCGUGGCCAGACUUGUGCCCCGCGGACCACCCGGCGCCCUCAGCGCCGGUGCACUCCGCGGGGCGCAGGCCAGCAUCGGUUUUUCCAGGGGGACAAAGGCGGCGGGAACGUGGCUCCCUCGGGAGUGUUAUAGCCCGCCGCGCCAUGCCCCUGGGGGGACCGAGGACCGCGCUUCGGCAAGGAUGCUGGCGUAAUGGCCACCGGCGACCCGUCUUGAAACACGGACCAAGGAGUCAAGCAUUGGGGCGAGUGUCUGGGUGCCAAACCCGCACGCGAAAUGAAAGUGAACGCAGGUGAGAGCUUCGGCGCAUCAUCGACCGAUCCUGAUGUUCUCGGAUGGAUUUGAGUAAGAGCCUUACCGCUUGGACCCGAAAGAUGGUGAACUAUGCCUGUAUAGGGUGAAGCCAGAGGAAACUCUGGUGGAGGCUCGCAGCGGUUCUGACGUGCAAAUCGAUCGUCAAAUAUGGCAUGGGGCGAAAGACUAAUCGA
rnacentral:rRNA from 1 species